rnacentral:lncRNA from 1 species
UACGGGUCCGCGCAUAUAAAAAGGAGCGCACAUUCGCCCGUGCGGCUUCGCACUGCGUCACGGUCGAAACGCACCAGCAUGAAGGUCUUCGUCGUCGCUCUCCUCAUCAGCAUUGUGGCCCUGACGCUUGGCGCCGACGAAGAGACGCCGGUGACGAUCGAGUGGCCACCGCGUCCGCGGGCGUGCGGUGAAGGCGAGACGUGGAAGCAGUGCGUGAGCGGCAGCUGCGCCGAGGCCACCUGCGCUCGGCCACAGGUGGGGCCGCAGUGCACCUCCGACUGCCGCUACGGCUGCUACUGCGCCGACGGUUUCUACCGGAACGAGCAGAAGGUGUGCGUCACCCGCGACAGGUGCCCGUAGCAGUGGUCGCCGAGCAAGACAUCGAGGCCAUGUGAUCACCAUGGCCUGCGUCUACCCCUGCGAAUUUCAAAUAAAGUUUCCUUGAAACAG